CAUGCAAGUCGAACGCCCCGCAAGGGGAGUGGCAGACGGGUGAGUAAAGCGUGGGAAUCUACCCAGAACUUCGGAACAACUGAGGGAAACUUCAGCUAAUACCGGAUACGCCCUACGGGGGAAAGAUUUAUCGGUUCUGGAUGAGCCCGCGUUGGAUUAGCUAGUUGGUGGGGUAAUGGCCUACCAAGGCGACGAUCCAUAGCUGGUCUGAGAGGAUGAUCAGCCACACUGGGACUGAGACACGGCCCAGACUCCUACGGGAGGCAGCAGUGGGGAAUAUUGGACAAUGGGCGAAAGCCUGAUCCAGCAAUGCCGCGUGAGUGAUGAAGGCCUUAGGGUUGUAAAGCUCUUUUACCCGGGAUGAUAAUGACAGUACCGGGAGAAUAAGCCCCGGCUAACUCCGUGCCAGCAGCCGCGGUAAUACGGAGGGGGCUAGCGUUAUUCGGAAUUACUGGGCGUAAAGCGCACGUAGGCGGCUUUGUAAGUCAGAGGUGAAAGCCUGGAGCUCAACUCCAGAACUGCCUUUGAGACUGCAUCGCUUGAAUCCAGGAGAGGUGAGUGGAAUUCCGAGUGUAGAGGUGAAAUUCGUAGAUAUUCGGAAGAACACCAGUGGCGAAAGCGGCUCACUGGACUGGUAUUGACGCUGA
rnacentral:rRNA from 1 species